rnacentral:tRNA from 1 species
CCAGGUAGCUCAGUUGGUAGAGCGUCCGCCUGAAAAGUGGAAGGUCGCCGGUUCGAUCCCGGCCUUGGCC